rnacentral:rRNA from 1 species
GAUGAACGCUAGCUACAGGCUUAACACAUGCAAGUCGAGGGGCAGCAUGAUUGAAGCUUGCUUCAAUCGAUGGCGACCGGCGCACGGGUGAGUAACACGUAUCCAACCUGCCGAUAACUCGGGGAUAGCCUUUCGAAAGAAAGAUUAAUACCCGAUAGUAUAGUAUUUCCGCAUGGUUUCACUAUUAAAGAACUUCGGUUAUCGAUGGGGAUGCGUUCCAUUAGAUAGUUGGCGGGGUAACGGCCCACCAAGUCAACGAUGGAUAGGGGUUCUGAGAGGAAGGUCCCCCACAUUGGAACUGAGACACGGUCCAAACUCCUACGGGAGGCAGCAGUGAGGAAUAUUGUCAAUGGACGAGAGUCUGAACCAGCCAAGUAGCGUGAAGGAUGACUGCCCUAUGGGUUGUAAACUUCUUUUAUACGGGAAUAAAGUGGAGUAUGCAUACUCCUUUGUAUGUACCGUAUGAAUAAGGAUCGGCUAACUCCGUG